GGGAACAAAGGUGAGACUGUGCUGCCUUUUGUGUGAGUUUUAUGAGUUCAUUAAUUUAAUUUUUGCCUGAGUUACACGUGUGGUGGAGAGCACCACAAAUGAAUAUCCACCCUGGGAGAGUCAAGAUGUCUGUUGAGAAUGCCUGCCCACCACCUUCCCCGACAUUUUCCUUUACAAACAGUUCUACAGCUCUGGUAAAUGAAGGUCACUUUGACGUAUCAUGAGGAAUGCUUUCUGUGACAUUUCUGUGAUACAAAGAGUAAAAUGGGUCGUGAGCCGUCGAUUGUUUUCAAGUGCUUUCUUAAAAGAUACCAGAUUGCGUCUCCAAGGUUACAACUGUCAGGUGUCCCGAUAAGGAUCACAGGAGGUGGAUAAUGUUUGACAGGACUGUUGAGAUGAGGGAUCAAAGGUCUGGAGUCUGUUUGCCUGUUGGAUCCACCUUCACACUUCAGGGGGAUUUCGGUUUGGGACGGAGAGUAAAUCUGAUCUGGGCUUCCCAGAGUGUGUGAGCUGCCUCGUCCCUCAGCAUCAUGGUGGAACUGGCUUUCUACCCAGCGGUGGCUCUCAUAUACUUUUUUGGAGUCAUGAAAGCCACACAGGAUGAUCGCGUGGAGCUGGACGACCGGGCGUCGAUGAACGUGUUCUGUCUGUUCGUGUUGGCACAGCCACUGUGUCUGGUACUGGGCGGAUACACGGGCAUGGCUACAUACCUCCUCACAUCUCUGGUCUCCUACAACUUCUUGCCAUGGAGGAAGACAAAGCAGCCCACAAAGGGAAAAGAAUCAAAGAAGAAGACAAAGUGAGAACAAGGGACGUACACUGUGUGGGCGAUAAAGAGAAACCCGGAUGAAAAAAAUGUCGUGAAAAAAUUAGAACAUAAUGUAAAUCUUUUUUUAUGAAUAAAGGAAUGUGUUUCUACCUUGA